rnacentral:ribozyme from 1 species
UAUUUGACUGUUUCUUAGAUUUUUUAUUUUUCUUCCUGGUGUUCUCGUCGUCGUCAAUUGCUAUAUUUUUAUUAUAAUAGAACGUGUGGUAUGGAGCACCACUCAAAAAU